rnacentral:lncRNA from 1 species
AUGCAGGCACAGCAACCCUGGGGUCCAGAGGUCCACACCCACAUAUGCAGAUGCCCACACCCCAAUAUGCAUGCCUGCACCACUGUAUGCCUGCACCACUAUGUGAAGAUGCUCACACCCUGUAUGCAGAUGCCCACACUCUGUAUGCAGAUGCUCACACCCUGUAUGCAAAUGUCCACACCCUGUGUGCAGAUGCCCCCACCCCUGUAUGCAGAUGCCCACACCCCUGUAUACAGAUACCCACACCCUGUAUGCAGAUGCCCACACCCUGUAUACAGAUGCUCACACCCUGUAUACAGAUGCCCACACCCUGUAUACAGAUACCCACACCCUGUAUGCAGAUGUCCACACCCUGUAUACAGAUACCCACACCCUGUAUACAGAUGUCCACACCCUGUAUGCAGAUGCUCACACCCUGUAUACAGAUGUCCACACCCCCAUGUGCACAUGUCCACACCCCCAUGUGCAGAUGUCCACACCCCCAUGUGCAGAUGUCCACACCCUGUAUGCAGAUGCCCACACCCUGUAUACAGAUGCUCACACCCCUGUAUACAGAUGUCCACACCCUGUAUACAGAUGCUCACACCCCUGUAUACAGAUGUCCACACCCUGUAUGCAGAUGCUCACACCCUGUAUGCAGAUGUCCACAUCCUGUAUGCAGAUACCCACACCCUGUAUGCAGAUGUCCACACCCUGUAUGCAGAUGCCCACACCCUGUAUGCAGAUGCCCACACCCUGUAUGCAGAUGCUCACACCCUGUAUACAGAUGUCCACACCCCCAUGUGCAGAUGUCCACACCCCCAUGUGCAGAUGUCCACACCCUGUAUGCAGAUGCCCACACCCUGUAUGCAGAUGCCCACACCCUGUAUGCAGAUGUCCACACCCUGUAUGCAGAUGCCCACACCCCCACAUGCAGAUACCCACACCCUGUAUGCAGAUGUCCACACCCCCACAUGCAGAUGCUUCUCACUUUCAUCCUCUACACAACCUGGGUGUGCUGUUUGUUAG